rnacentral:other from 1 species
CAGGGACUGCGGUGCUCGUGAGCCCCACUUUUUUUGGGCCACAAAGCAUUUUUACGGGAUUCUGUCUAAUACUUUAGAAAUCAUGCCCCCACGUCAGGGGAAGAUUGAUAAAGCAUUCAGGAAACCCACCUGUUUAUUACAGGUCCAAUAAAAUGCACGGGCAACGGCACAGGCGGUUCCGUU